GCGCCGGCGAUGUUUCAUUUCAAAUUUUCCUGCCCUUAUCAACUUUCGACGGUAGGGUAGUGGCCUACCGUGGUGGUAACGGGUGACGGAGGAUUAGGGUUCGAUUCCGGAGAGGGAGCCUGAGAAACGGCUACCACAUCCAAGGAAGGCAGCAGGCGCGCAAAUUACCCAAAUCCCAACUCGGGGAGGUAGUGACAAGAAAUAACGAUGCUCCGGCCAUCGGUCGGGUAAUCGGAAUGAGGACAAUUUAAAUCCCUUAUCGAGGAUCAAUUGGAGGGCAAGUCUGGUGCCAGCAGCCGCGGUAAUUCCAGCUCCAAUAGCGUAUAUUUAAGUUGCUGCGGUUAAAAAGCUCGUAGUCGGAUUUCGGGUGGUGCCUACCGGUCCGCCCUUGGUGUGUACUGGUAGGCGCCACCUUUCUGCCGAGGACGGGUUCCUGGGCUUAGCUGUCUGGGGCCCGGAGUCGGCGAUGUCACUUUGAGUAAAUUAGGGUGUUUAAAGCAGGCUUAUGCUCUGUAUACACUAGCAUGGGAUGACACGAUAGGACUUCGGUCUAUCUUGUCGGUCUGUAGAUCGGAGUAAUGAUUAAGAGGGACAGUCGGGGGCAUUCGUAUUUCGUAGUCAGAGGUGAAAUUCUUGGAUUUACGGAAGACGAACUUCUGCGAAAGCAUUUGCCAAGGAUGUUUUCAUUGAUCAAGAACGAAAGUCGGGGGCUCGAAGACGAUUAGAUACCGUCGUAGUCUCGACCAUAAACGAUGCCAC
rnacentral:rRNA from 1 species